rnacentral:rRNA from 1 species
CACGUAGGGUGCGAGCGUUGUCCGGAAUUAUUGGGCGUAAAGCGCUCGUAGGCGGUGUGUCGCGUCGGCCGUGAAAACCUGCAGCUCAACUGUGGGCUUGCGGUCGAUACGGGCAUCACUGGAGUUCGGCAGGGGAGACUGGAAUUCCUGGUGUAGCGGUGAAAUGCGCAGAUAUCAGGAGGAACACCGGUGGCGAAGGCGGGUCUCUGGGCCGAUACUGACGCUGAGGAGCGAAAGCUAGGGGAGCGAAUGGG